GUGGCAUGGGAGCCUUGAGGAUUCUAUAAAAGGAGCCUCAAGGCUCCUACUGAAUUACGAAGUCCCAUUUCUUGAUGGGCAUGCAAUGAGCCAGCAAACUGGCUCGUGCACUCACGGAGCCGAAAUUUUUCGGCUCCACAGCAAUAAAUUUUUUUGAAUACUGUAUUGGAGUACCUUCACUUGCGACGACGACGACACCUUGCUCUCUCUGUCUAGGAUUUCAUCUUCUCUCUCAAGUCAGCAAUAUGGAGUGUAUCUGGUGAUGGUGGCUUCAGUACUUGAAUCUCCCUUUAUUCUCCUCAGGGAGGAUUGCAGAUCUCUCAGUUGUUCCUUCAACUGAGAGACACUAUCUCUUGCUAGACCACCAAUAUCCAGAAGCCUCACCGAUUUCUCCAAUAAGCCAUCAAUCCACUUCUUGUUUUGAUUUUGAGAGAGGGCUUGAAGGGUUUGUGGCAAGUUUAGAAGACCAUCCAUACACUUGUAAAGCUGUUCUAAUCCAAGAAGACCACUGCUGAUUGUAGCGGCUUCUGGAGUGGCUGAGACUUGUAGUGUUUUGAGCUUUGUCAGCUCUUCUUCUACUUUCUGAAGGUUUGGGUGUGAUCUGCUGGGAAAGCUAAUAGAUCGGAGGUGGUUGGUUUUUGCCAUUGUUAUAUUUUCUAUCUUUGUUACAGGAAAGUAAACUCAAGCUUGUGCUGGCUAGAAUAAGCUCUAGUCUUGGUUAUAUAUUGGCAGAUAGGAAGGCUUGGAUCAAUUGAUGCUGAUCUCCCUUCGACUGCAUUAACAAAAAGCUGAAAGAAUGGAAUAUAAAACCUCAUAACCAUGAAUGGAUGCAAGAGAGUUGUGAUUAAUUAAUGGUAGUACACGCACUGCUUGUUGGCAUUUUUCCCUACUACAUUAUUCACAAUUUGCUAUAUAGAAGGAGACAUGGCUGACAUUAGCCUGGUUGUAAGAAUCAGAUCACCGUGUGGUUUCAGCAUUCAAAUUUCUUUAAUAUUUGCAAAUGGGUUCUGCAUUUUAGUUUUUCCAACAAGACUCAUAAUACUUCUUCCUAUUUCUUUAAUCCUCAGAGUAACAGAAUGAUUAGUAGGUGUUUACUGUAAUGCUAUUUAUUAUAUCAACAUUGAGUUGGAAAAGAUUUGUUUCCUCCUGCCUGCCAGGCAUCAGAAGGUUUAUGCCUAAUGACAACUUUGCCCCAUCCAUUACAGAAAGUGAACAUAACCAAGACAAUUUUGUUUUACUGACAACGUAAAAUAGUAAUUAUCAUAGAAAACCAGUGAAUUUCUUUCAAUACUAAACUUUUCGUUAUUGCAAACAUUCCAAACAAGUUUAAGUAACAGUUGUGGAAAGUUAUCUCUAAACACAAUGUUCCUUAACUUAUUAUGCUUGCCUGGAAACAUGUGAUGAGAACAAUAGUUUUGGGAAUGAUCUUAUUAUUGAUCAAUCCAUGAUGUUUGAAGUACAGGAAGAUCUGUAUUUAUAAGGAUACAAAGAAGUCCCAAACAGGAUAGAAAUGGUAAAUGAUAAUAUUCCCAAUAAUAUAGGGGGAGGGAGAAGGAAUUCUAGUGUGCCUAGAAUACAGAGUCUUAAUAACAUGAACCAUGCUACACUGAUUGGAUAAUGUAAAUAUAUAUGAUUUGUACACAAGUGCAUAUGUGUAUGUUAUUAUCAUGAUGCAAAAAUUGAUCUCAACACAUUAUAGAUGCCCAAGGUCAUGAAAAGAGCAAAGGUGGUGAUGAGUCUUGUGACUUUCAUCCUAGUUAACCUGCAUGACUUCUGGCUUGUAAUUUUACCUUUUGGCUUAGCGGGAAUGGUUAACACUUUACAGAGGCGAGACGAAUGAUAUCUGAAAUAAACCCAGGACAAUUUAUGGGAAAAUCUCAUUAGAGAAUAAAGCUAAAAAGAAAAUAUCAUAGUUGCUUUGUAUGAUCACCCAGAACAUGAAUCAUGCUAUACUGAAUAGAUCUGAUUGCAAAUACAGAUGCUUAAAGCAUGAUGCGAAGAUAUGAUAUGUAUCAAACUGCAUGAAUGGCUCAUUAUAUUGAUGCUCUC